rnacentral:rRNA from 1 species
UACAGAGGGGGCAAGCGUUGUCCGGAUUUACUGGGCGUACAGCGCGCGCAGGCGGUUGCGUAUGUGAGCGGUGACAUCCGCGGGCUCAACCCGCGGCGGCCCGCUUACACAGCGCGACUGGAGGCAGGGAGAGGGAUGUGGAAGUACCCGGUGGAGCGGUGAAAUGCGUAGAGAUCGGGUGGAACACCAGCGGCGAAGGCGGCAUCCUGGCCCUGUACUGACGCUGAGGCGCGAUAGCGUGGGGAGCAAACGGG